AGUAAGGCUGGUGUAGGGCAGGUGAAGCUGAGAGGGGCAGAAAACAUGCUUUGUUCAUCUUUACACGACUAAACACAGAGAAGUGUCGCUGCUUAAAGCUUUUCAGUGUAACUGUAGGAGCUCAGGAGUGUGUCAUCAUCCUCAUCCUCAUCAUCCUCCUCCUCAUCCUCAGCACCACCACCACCACGGGACGGAGAGGACGGCAGUCAGCAGGCAGAGCAGCUCGGAACUCCGCGCGGGAGAGAUGCUGCGAGCUCUGCCCCUGCCCCUGCCUCUGCCCCUGCCCCUGCCCCUGCCUCUGCCCCGCUGCACAGCACCACCGAGCUGGCUCUGCUCCCAUCCACUCGCCUGCUGAUCGGUUUGUGCACGAAGGGAACCGGAAACACCCAUCCGCAUCCUGCUCAGGAGUCCCGGUGUGUCUGUGCACCUUCACUCCCAGCUGCUCCUGGGUUCGAGAGGAGGUGGACAUCAGAAGAACCCGUGUGUAGUGAGGUGCAGUGAGGUGCAGUGAGGUGCAGUUCCCUCUCUUCUCUUCUCUUCUCUUCUCUUCUCUUCUUUCUCUUCAUUAAAAACAUCAUGCUGGACUAGUGCUGGAUGAGAGGACACUUUUCACCAUGAGCACGAACGGCCCCUACCAGCACCCCAGCUAUGGUGGAGGAAGUGGAGGCCAUGGCCAAGACUCCAUUACCUGCUUCCGAUGUGGUGAUAUGUGCAAAGGAGAAGUGGUGCGCGUGCAGAACGUCCACUUUCACGUCAAGUGUUUCACCUGCCAGGUGUGCGGCUGUGACCUGGCCUGUUCCGGAUUCUUCCAGCAGGCCGGUGAGUACAUCUGCACUGAGGACUACCAGCGGCUUUACGGCACUAAAUGUGACAGCUGCGGGGAAUUCAUCACCGGGGAGGUGGUGUCAGCUCUGAGCCGGGCUUACCACCCAAAGUGCUUUAUCUGCACCAUCUGCAGGAAGCCAUUUCCCAUCGGAGACAGGGUGACCUUCUGUGGGAAGAAGUGUGUGUGUCAGCAGUGCUCACACACACUCGUCAGCAGCAAUGAGCCCAUCAAGGUCCACGGGCCGAGUCAUUGUGCGGGCUGUAAGGAGGAGAUAACUCACGGUCAGUCCCUGCUGGCUCUGGAGAAACAGUGGCACGUCAGCUGCUUUAAGUGUCAGACCUGUGGCACAGUCCUGACUGGAGAGUACAUCAGCAAAAAUGGUAUUCCAUACUGCGAGUCAGAUUACCACAGACAGUUUGGGAUCAGGUGUGAGACGUGCAACAGAUACGUCAGCGGAAAAGUGCUGGAGGCCGGUGGAAAGCAUUAUCACCCGACUUGUGCGCGCUGUGCACGCUGUCAGAUGACAUUCACUGAAGGAGAAGAGAUGUACCUGGCAGGUUCGGAGGUGUGGCAUCUGAUGUGUAAGCAGGCUGCGAGGAUGGAGAGGAAGCUCAGGCUAAGACGCACCUCAGAGGCCUCCAUCUCUCCUCCCGGCUCCAGUAUAGGAUCUCCCAGCCGGGUCAUUUGUGCCAGAGUGGAGAAUGAGAUCCUCAGUCACAGGGCUCUGUCUUCAUUACCUAAGCUUAACGCUGUAUACGACGAGCCGCGACCCGAUCUCAUUCCUUACGAGGCGUAUCACAGAUACUUCUCUGAUGACAGGCUAGAGCGUUACCGCUAUGGGGAGGAUAUCUACGACGGCUUGGACCUCAGGCAUCGGCGUUCCUCCAGCCCAGGCUACAUCGACUCACCGACUUACAGCCGUCAGGGAAUGUCUCCCGCUGUGCCACGCUCCCCUCAGCUCUACUACCGCUAUGGCACUGAGAGUGGCAGGAGUUCUCCCUGUUACAGUCAGCUCGACGCCAGAUCCAACAUGUCCACCAUGUACCAAGCACCCAGGCAUUUCCAUGUGCCAGCCACUGCGGAGGCCAACAUCUACAGGAAGCCACCCAUCUAUAAGAGACAUGCUGCGAAGACUAAAACCAAUGAAGAUAUCCUGUCUUCCCCUUUUUCAUCUCCGGAUCACUACCAGCACUACUGCCACUACGCUGGCUCGCCGAAAGUUCCUCGAGCUCGUAGAUUCUCCUCAGGAGGAGAAGAAGACGGCUGGAGUCAGAGCAUUAACAGAAUCCAGGCUGGAAUCGGGAGGAUGAUCCUGAAGGAAGAGAUGAAGGCCCGGGCUGGUUCCUAUGACAACGACCCUUGGGCCAGUGCACGCAACUCUCGCAGUGGGAGCAAAGAAACCCUGUCCGGUCUGGGCUACAGUAACACUGUUAACGGCUCUCCCAGGUCGCAGUACAGUGCAGACAGCGAUCCAUUCAUCUCGAAAUCAGCUUCGUUGCCAGGCUAUGGCAGGAACGGUAUAAACAGGCCCCACAGUGCAGAUUACUUCCAUUACGACAGCACCAAUGCGGUAAAUUGGGGAUUUAGAGGUACGCGUGUUCUCAGCCCAGCUACAUCUAUACAUUAUAUGGCCAACAUAUGUUUCUGCACCCCUGACCAUCACACCCAUAUGUGCUUCUUCCCCAAACUGUUUCCCCAAAGUUGGAAGCUCACAAUUGUACAGAAUGUCACUGUAUGCUGUAGCUUUACAGUUUCCCUUCACUGGAACUAAGAGACUCAAACCUGUUCCAGCAUGACAAUGCCCCUGUGCACAAAGCGAGCUCCAUGAAGACAUGGUGUGUGAAGGUUGGAGUGGAAGAACUCGAGUGUCCUGCACAGAGCCCUGAACUUACUCAACCCCACUGAACACCUUUGGGAUGAACUGGAACUGGAGACUCCUUACCCAACAUCAGAGCCUGAUUUCACUAAUGCUCUUGUAGCUGAAUGAACACAAAUCCCCACAGCCACGCUCCAACAUCUAGUGGAAAGCUUCCCAGAAGAGUGGAGCUUAUUAUGAUAGCGAUGGGGGAAUAAAUCUGUAAUGAGAUGUUCAACAAGCACAUGUGGCUGUGAUGGUCAGGGGUGCACAUACUUUUGGCCACUGAUUCCUGCUUUUCUCUUUUUUUCUCUGUUUCAGAAUACAAGGUUAGCGACCACACAACCUGAUACUGAAGAAACCAGGAAAAGAACAAGAACCAUUUUUACUUGAUGAAAUAAAAAAUCCCGUGACAUUUUUUAGUUGUUUGUGAAACUCACAUUUUAACUGUGAAUUAGACAGUGACCUUCAGAGGGGUCACCAAUCAUUUAUCUUCAGGUUUUGCUUUCUGCAGUUAGCAAUGUUCUAAAUAUGAACCAAAGAAGCCUUUUAAAAAACUAGCACCAAUAACUUUCACAAAAAGGGAACAAAGCAGCUUAGCUAUAAAUAAAAAGGGCCAUAAACCAUGCUAAACAUAGCUAGCUAACAACCUAGUGGCUAGCUAGCAGCAAGAUACAGUAACAUAAAUUACAAGUCCACUGGAGUGGUAAAUUAUUUCCUAAUGUAGUUGACACAGUCUCAUUUCAAUCAUGUGACCAAACUAGCUAGCUAAUUCAUAAAAUGCUUUCUCUGUAUGUUUACAUUUUUAGUUUAUAAUGAACGAAUAUGCGGUCAGGGAGUGGUAAGUUUUUCGUAAGUGUUGUAGUGGUGAUUAAAUGUGUAAUUUACGUGUCUUUCUGACAUGGUUAGGGACACAUACUUUGGCAUUUAUUAAAAUUGUUGAGCUAUCAAAACCCCCCCUAACAUUUUGUCUUUACUUUCUUUUAAACAGUAAGUGACCCAGACACUAUGGUCUAAAUGUCCGAGUUUAUAAGCCGCUAACUUUCUUUUUAAUAUAUUCUUAUGCUGUGUAUUUUUCUCAAAAUGUGCUAUAACGUGUGCUAUAAAUACCAGCGCUCUAGUCAAGACUGCCAUUGUCAGGUCCAAACCCAGGACUAGCUGAGAUUGAGUCAAGGCCGAGUCAAGAUCAAGACCGAAAACCAUCAGAUUCUUUUCCCAUCCAAGCUUUUAAUUCAGUUUCACAUUUGUAAAUUCUCUUGAGAAUUAUCCAGAAUCCUGCCAUUGGGGAAAAAGGGCUUUUUUUUAUUAGAAGGCAAUGUCAACAUCCGUUCUUAAAUCGAGCUGAUUAUGCUAGUUCUGUCAACUAGUUAGCUUCAUUCAUGCUGCGCCAACGAUUAGUCUGUUUUCCAAAAGAAGGAAUUACUUCACAUGAAACUUUGUGUAUGCAAAAAGAAAAGACAACACAAACAUUAUUUUUAGAAACUCUCAGUCGAGAUCAAGACCAUAUUUACCGAGAACGAUGCCCAAGAAUGGCUCAAUAUAUAAAACAUCAACAUCUCAGUGCUACCAAAUACACACAAUUUUAUUUAUUUUAUUUAAAAUGCUUUUACAUAAAGCAGCUUAACAGAAAUCUAGAAAAAUUCAGUUAGAUUUAGAUCCCUAUUGUUGCUAGUGAUUUUAGUCCGCAGUUUUUUUUAAACUUAAUAAAGACUGAUACAGCUUUGUAUGAGAAAUACAAGUUUUAAAAAAUGAUUAGGUUUAUAUUAAUGCUGUUUAAAAACACUUCUUGGUAGUGGAUUUAGAAUUUUAUAGCCUGCUGUAUAUGCAUGAGCUAAAAAGCAAAAAGAUCCUUUUACAAUGCUUGGACAUUUUCACAAUACACAAUAUGUAUAAAAUAUUGAGCUUUUCUGGGGAUGUGCUAACGUACUGUUUCACAGUGCGGCUCUACCAGCAAGACUGUACAGCCAUAUUCUAUGUAAUUCUAUGGAAAAGUUUGUUUUCUUCAACAUUUACAGCACAAUAGUUUCAUGCAGUCAGUGGUAUAAAAGCUCUGAGCGUAAUUUAAUCACAUUGUCCACACCUAGAAUGAGCCACGUCAUCAUUAAUUGUUCAUUGUUCGUUAUGUCAGUUAUCUUUCUGACGUUUACAGAUUUAUCCAUAUCAGGAUCUCAUCGUCACUGUUCGAGGUCGUAACCCGCUUCCUGGUGACGUGGACAGGACGAGAUUAGAGAGACACCUGUCCCCUGACGAGUUCUACCAGGUGUUUGGGAUGACGAUGGCCGAUUUCGAGCGCUUGGCACUGUGGAAACAAAACGAGCUAAAGAAGCAGGCGAGGCUGUUCUAGGAAAUAAAGCUGUGGACCUCACC